rnacentral:rRNA from 1 species
GACGAACGCUGGCGGCGUGCUUAACACAUGCAAGUCGAACGAUGAAGCCGGAGCUUGCUCUGGUGAAUUAGUGGCGAACGGGUGAGUAACACGUGAGUAACCUGCCCUUGACUCUGGGAUAACUGCGGGAAACUGUAGCUAAUACCGGAUACGACCCUCGGAGGCAUCUCCUGGGGGUGGAAAGAAUUUCGGUCAAGGAUGGACUCGCGGCCUAGCAGCUAGUUGGUGAGGUAAAGGCUCACCAAGGCGACGACGGGUAGCCGGCCUGAGAGGGUGACCGGUCACACUGGGACUGAGACACGGCCCAGACUCCUACGGGAGGCAGCAGUGGGGAGGAUUGCACAAUGGGCGCAAGCCUGAUGCAGCCACGCCGCGUGAGGGAUGACGGCCUUCGGGUUGUAAACCUCUUUUAGUAGGGAAGAAGCGAAAGUGACGGUACCUGCAGAAAAAGCACCGGCUAACUACGUGCCAGCCGCCGCGGUAA